GUUCCACGCCGGCAUGCUGAGCGAUGAGUAAGGCUGAACGGAGGGCGUCGCGGAAUCAGAAAGUCAAUCGAUCAAAAUUCUAAGUGAUCGUACCGAAGGCGAUGCUCAGGUAUGACUGUUAAUCUUAAUGGAAUCAUCACACUCUAACUCAAGACAUACAGAGGGUGCAGGAGACAGGCAGACUGUUAAGGCCCAUCUGCUGGAGUCCAGGAGCCUCUUGGUGGAGUCUUUGUAUAACCUAGCUCCUCUGCUGGACUGUGCUGUGGCUGAUGGCCUGCUGACCCAAGACAACUAUUAUGAUGUGAAGGCAGAGAAAACGCCUCCUAAAAUGGCUCGCAAGUUGCUGGAGGUGGUGAACUGUCAGAUGGAUGAAAACCAGGCCACCCGUUUUCUGGAGUGCCUAAGAAGAUGCGAACAGCACUACCCGCGCCUGCGCAGCUGGCUAAACCACCACACAGAGAGCCUGCAAGGACCCACAGAGCAUCGUCUCCAGGCUCAGUUCCGUGUUCUGUGCGCCCGUCUUGGCUGUGGGACACUUCCCAUUUCUCUGGCACUCUUCUCUGCUGGCAUUGUGACACAGUUUGAGCUGGAACAGGUUCAAGCAGCAGCAAUAUCUCUCCAGCAAGCACAGAAACUGUUACAAAUUUGUCUGUCCAAGGGGGACGGUGCAUGCAAAGCCUUCUACAAAGCUUUGGAGGAUGAGGAUCAGUAUCUUGCAGAAGAGCUCAGCAGCACAUCCCAUCCGGAUAGUAUCUGUGGCCAAUCAGUGCAAUGUGAACACGAUGCCAGUCAUUGUCCAGUGGCUGUAGAGGAGACCAGAGACAGUUUUGAUGCCAAUAUGCCUCACUCAGGUGAUCUCAAACCAGACUCAGAUGUGUUACGUCAAGUCAUGGAAAGGCUGGGUGUAGUCUCUGAGGACAUGGCCAAGCUGAACUGCUGCCAGUUGGGUGUCGUCCUAGGUCUUCCUCGCUGGUCAGUCAGGGGGUGUUUGUUGGAGGAGGAAGGAAUCGGCGAUGAAGCCCAGUUAGUGGCCUUAGUGACCUUCUACCUUAAGAAGACCCAGGAUGCCUCACGCUUGCUCAGCAGGGUGAUGGAGUGCAACUUAGAGAGGGUCCAGCUGUCUAGAAGGGGUUGCCUGCUGCUAAAGUUGCUGGGGGAAGCAAAUGCUAUUAUUCAUACUAGGAGCCAUCAUGAUGCACUGUGGGCAAUCUUCAGCUUCCUCAUGUGGGACUGCGUGGCUGACAUUGAGGAGAUCCCAGGGUCUGAGCCAGGCCAAAGUGCAAUAGGACAUGUUCAGCGGUUGCGUGGGAAUGAUAGGGUGGACACCACACUUUUGGAGGAACUGGAGGAGUGUUGGAUCGAUGGUGGCGUUGAUAGCCUCGAGCAGAGCAUACGAGUGCUAGCACAGAUCUUGCGAGACCUUCAUCCUCUGCAGGAGAACCUUCACCUUUCUCCUAAUAUGGAAGGAAUGUACUUGUGUCACCCAGGUCGGAUUCAAAGGGUUACAUGCUUUCAGGGGCUGCCUGCACGCAUUAUUCGGAAAGCUUUAGGAGGCAGUGGGGUUCUAAAUGGUGCAGAACACUGUGAUGCUGACUCACUGUCCAGCCAGUAUAGAGAUCUCUGCCUUCAGAUGGCAAAGCUGCUGGAUCGUGUCUGUUCUUUUGGAAGUAGUGCUGACCUUCAAAAUGAAGAUGAGGAAACCAUUAUCCAAUACAUACGCUCUACCCUAACUAAGUCAGCAUUCAGACCUGAAGCUUUUGAUGCUGGAGUGAAGCAUCGCUUGCUGGGCAUGCUGGAAUAUAGCCCUGCAGAACUGGCCAUAAGCUCAGUGAUGGAGCUCCACCAGGAGACCCUCUCAGAACUGGAGCGCUACCUGUGUCCCGGGGAACAGCACAGCUUCCAGUUUGUUGUGGAUUGCGUGCACAUGCUUGGCUCAGCCCAGCUACAGUUUGCAGCACGGACAAGGGGUCCAGUUGCUAUCGACAACGGCAUGGAGGAAACCUACAACUUUGUUACGUCUGAGGCAACCUCCUUCCUAAUAAAGCUGCACUGCUGCGGCUAUAAGAAGGGACAACGGUUUGAGGUGUCUGACCCACAAUGUGUUUGUCUGUCUCAGCUGGAUGGAGCAGGGCUGGACGAAGUGCUGACUGUUAGGGGGCAGGUCCUAGCACAGGAGGGAGGCACAGUGUGGGUAAGAGAUGGGGGCCUUGGCUGGAAAGAGAAACUGCGACAGGUGGCACAAAAACACUCUGGACACCUAAGAGAGGAGCGCUGCUGCUUUAAAGUAAUUUCCACCAAGUCAGAAUGUGAGGUCAAGUUCAUUUUCCGAAACAAAAUAUGGGCCACUGCAAUGGCUGACUGUGAGGUUUUAUGAGUCUGUAUUUAGGUCAAAAGAUGGAAAAAUAAAUAAAUAAAAGGCAAAGUGUUACA
rnacentral:lncRNA from 1 species